AGUGAACGCUGGCGGUAGGCCUAACACAUGCAAGUCGAACGGCAGCACAGGAGAGCUUGCUCUCUGGGUGGCGAGUGGCGGGCGGGUGAGGAAUACAUCGGAAUCUACUCUGUCGUGGGGGAUAACGUAGGGAAACUUACGCUAAUACCGCAUACGACCUACGGGUGAAAGCAGGGGAUCUUCGGACCUUGCGCGAUUGAAUGAGCCGAUGUCGGAUUAGCUAGUUGGCGGGGAAAAGGCCCACCAAGGCGACGAUCCGUAGCUGGUCUGAGAGGAAGGUCAGCCACACUGGAGCUGAGACACGGUCCAGACUCCUACGGGAGGCAGCAGUGGGGAAUAUUGGACAAUGGGCGCAAGCCUGAUCCAGCCAUACCGCGUGGGUGAAGAAGGCCUUCGGGUUGUAAAGCCCUUUUGUUGGGAAAGAAAUCCAGCUGGUUAAUACCCGGUUGGGAUGACGGUACCCAAAGAAUAAGCACCGGCUAACUUCGUGCCAGCCGCCGCCGUAA
rnacentral:rRNA from 1 species